ACCUAAAGGAUUUGAAGCAGUGAUUAUGUGUUUACAAAGAAAAAAAAAAAAAAAAAAAAAAAAAAAAGGAAAAAAAAAAAGAAAAAAAAAAAAAGGAAAAGAAGAAAAGAAGAGCCGGGAGGAUAGGUUGUUCAGUUUACUACUGGAGACCUGACUGUGACUGAGCGUCGGGAAAACAUUUUUAAGGGAGGAAGGAAUUGCUGCGGCAGCAUCUCCGAGUCUCUCUCCUUUUUCUCCUCUGAGUUACAUAGGAUAACUUGGCCAGAACUUACUGAUGACUGCACGGCCAGCGGAGCCGGGAAUGGGAAAUGCAGGAAGGCGCUCUUUGGCAGGAGCAGAAGAGGAGGCAUUUCAAAGAUCCUGCAGGUGACCGAGGUGGUGAUCUGCUGCUAGAAUAAAUAAAUUUCAGGAAGUGCCAAGGCUGCUCAGCCAUUUACUGUGAUAUCACUUCUACAUAAGGAACUUACCAACUUUCUCCAAUUAUCUCCUCUAUUACGAUCCAGGCUUGUCUGCCUCCCUCAUCCACAUACUCAUUAAAAUCAUCAGAACUAAGGGUGUGAGAAGGAUGGGGCCUCAAGUGUCCAACAGUGAAAAGAUGGUGGUGCACGUCUCAAAAGCAAGACAGGUCAGAUUUCAGACGAAGUAGGGAAAACUGCUGAAGCAACACAGGCAUCCAACACCAGUCCCACCAAGGUAGGUGUGAAACUAUCUCAUCGCUGAGAUUCCUCUCUCUCAUUGCUGAGGAUGCAGCUUCAACCGCAACACAUCCCAUCUUUGAUUAUCGAGAUUAUGGAGCUGCUUGUAUCUUUCUAUGACGGAUCUAGUGCUGACACCCUUAAAUACAGGUUUUCAGCACUACUAAGAACAGGAGCUCCCAGCAACAUCAUUUUGGACAUCCAUGCACAUGAAAAGAAUGUGGUGAAGCAGCCCUGGGGAGGGAGGAGAAUGGAGAAGACCUGCCCAGUGUUCCACCAGUUUCCCGUGCAGCUCAACUCUGUUUUUAAUAGCACAGUACCUUCUCCCCUCUGUCCUCCCCCCCUACCCCUAAAAAAAAAAAGAACAUUUUCCUAGCUUCUCCAGACUUCACACUGUUGAAUGUUACUUGUGAUUCAUGCUGUUACCUUGUGCAAUACUCCAGGAAAACAGACCAUAGACAGGCUCUGUCAGGAAGGGUUUUGUAAUGGAUGUGUCAUUUCUCUUGUAUCUAUAUUAAGGACAAAAUCCUGUGAUGGCUGAUGAAUUUGUAGACCCCAUCUUUCUGAAAUCACAUUAGCUGCUCAGAAGAGGAAGGCUGCUUUUCUUUCAGGCAAUGAUGAUAGCACUUUCCUGGAUGCGGGUCGAAAAAUAUUUACAUCAAUAUAAAUAAGCAGUGUGUAACUAUAAAUAAAGAACACAGGUAAUAAAAUGUUAUCAUUGAAGUUGAGAUUAAAAUUGAAUCCUGCCAAGCCCUAAACAUAGAUCAUGAUAGACAAAUCCAAUAUACCUUUUUUUUUUUUUUUUUUUGGUGGUGCUGUAAUUAUAGACUAGGUAAAGAAAAAAAGAUUAUACAGCAGACAUAAUUUGUAAUGAUUUCAGUAACAUUUCUGAGGUAACGCCAUGAGAAGCAAUGACUACUUGUGCAUGCUUCUCCACAAGUGUAUGUAUCCCCCCACCAAGAGAUGCACUUGGAUUUCAACCAGAGCAAUGCUGUGAGCUGGAUACCUCUGCCAUCUGAUACUGAUACAAUGCUGUUGGCUGGGUCACCUCUGCCAGGACUGUCCAUUCCCUGACCUUGCAGCUCGGUGCCCUGGCCAACAGGAGCCCCUGCUGUAAGAUCCAAAGACAAACGGAGAAGCAGUUCCCAAACCUGGAAAGAAAUCCUAUAUGACCAACAGUCAGGUGACAGCCCGCAGGACGUGUCAACAUGGUGUUGUAGCAUGGGGUUGUCCUUUGAUGGAAUGCUACCCACUGCCUAUACACCCGUCUCUAUCAUGGCGCCCAGGGAGCAGCUACCAGAUGUUCUGGGGGUUUGUUGUUGGCAAACAUCCUGCUCUCCUUAUGACCAGGGGGGAUGGGUUCCUGGGUGGGUUCCCCUCCUUUCUAGCAGGGUGUUUAUCCGUGCUGUAACUAACUGCCGGAUGGAUAUCAGCUCUUCCCAAAGUCUUCUCAAAUCUGAACAGCCGCAGCUCUCUCAGCCUGUCCUCAUAGAGGUGUUCCAUCUCUUGGAUCCUUUCUCUGGUCCUCCUCUGGACAUGUUCCAACAGGUCCACAUCUCUCAUAGGAAGCUGCCACUUCAUGGCAAGGAGCUGGUCUGAGCACUGUGUCCUCCACUGGCUGAACUAGGAAAAGGUUUGCAUCCACGGGCAGCAUGGUUUGGCAUGGAAAAGCACAGAUGGGCUCAGAAACUGUCUCCAAGCUGCUCUUGACAAGGUAGGAGGCAUUCCCUUUAAGUUAACCAGGAAUGGAGGCUCACACUGCCUCUCUGGAAAUCAAGGCUUGAGGCCAAAAGCAAUCUCUGAUAUCUCAACAGAUGAAAAUAGAGCUUAAAAAAAUAAGAACGUGUCAUGGAAUUAAAUGAGAACCACAGAUUUAGCAGGUCUGGUGACUUCCCAAGAGAAGCUGAGGAGAAACGUAGAGAAAAGGCUUGUUUUUGAGACACAGUGAAAUGAAUUACUAGUCCCUUCUGUAAAAUCUGUUAAAGUCUUGACUGCUGGACGUUUACUUUCAAUGAAGUCAGCUUCCACUGCAGUCUGCUGAAGAGCCCUAACUUGACUGUGCAGAUGCAAUUACUGAAAAUGAAUCUGUCAGAGACAUAUCACGUAAACAAGGAGUCCUGUUUUGGCUCUCCUCCUGAAGCCAUCUUUGCCUCAGGGAUAACCUCAGCCAAUGCUUCACAAACCCAGUGGGAACAAGCAGCGCAGGCACAAAGCAGACUGACUAAGAAGGUUAGUGAAACUUCAAAGUGUUAGCCAUGAGCUGGUAAUUGGUACCUGGGAGCCAGCCAUCCACAGGGAACAUCAAACAGCGUUAUUUUUGGCUCUCCACAAAAAAAUGUCAGGAUUAUUUUAUUUGGGUGCCAUUUCGGAACACCAGCAGCCCCUGACGGGCAGCACACGCCCGGUGCUUCUGCACCUUGAUGCACUUGUAGGUGUUUGUUUUGACAGGGGGUUGACAGCGUUUCAGUGCACAGUACAUCACAGGUGAUUUGUAAGGUGAGUGUGGUCUGACAGUGGGCUCCUCUGAGCCCAGCGCAGUGCACUGGUUUUCAGAGCAACAAGAUCUGUCUGCCAUUAACUAGACCUCUCUGCAAUUGUGCUGUUCUUCUCAUAAUAGAGAACUUAUUCCCCAAAAUUCAUCUUUUCUCUUUGAUCUGCGUGUGUUUCUGUAGGCAAUUACACAUUAAUAUAUCAAAGGCUAUUGACAAUGCCAAGAAAUGGGUAUGCUAAUAUUCUUGUUUAAUCAUACAUGGGUUUGGGUGUCGUUUGUUGUUUUGUUUUGUUUUAGUAAAAUUGACAGCAGGACCUUGCAGUUAGAAGCCAGGCACAGGAACACGAGGUCAAGAGAAGUCAGCUGCACGAUUCCCUUUGAUUUCUAUGAGAUGAGAGUUACAGCUGGAAUUCUGGAUUCGGUUUCCACCUCUUCUCCAUACCUUCACUGUGCUUUCAGCAAGUGCAGCCAGGUACCCAGCUGCCUAAAUUCCAUAGCCUGAAAAUUUUGCUCAAGGGACUGCUGUUCACCAGGUCUGCAGCAUAUGCUUCCUUCAGCCCUUGUUCUGCACAGCAAAAGCAAACGGGAUCCCACUGAACGCCUUCCUGCCACCUCUAACUGAAACGCUCUGCAUACUUUUGCUCCCCAAAGUUUGUAUGGCUCAAAUAAAAUUGCUUACUUGAAAGUUAAGGUUUGUCAAUGAUUUCUGACUUUUUUUUUAAAGAAGGUAGUGGUGUUUGUUUCUUUUCCUUCUCCAUGAUCAUUCAAGUGUUGGUAAGGGGCAAACUUUGAGCACAAGUUUUAUAUUUCUCAGGAAAUGAAUGUAUUUCCCUUGCUUUUCUAAAAUAUCAUACUUUCAACUUUGAGUUAUUUAUCCAAAUAUUUCUAUUCCCCGCUGUAUUCUGAACGUUUGAUCUAUGUGAGGCAAUGCUCUGUUUAACCUUGCUUGUACUGAAAGCAAUAAAAUAUAAAAUGAAUAGGUGGAAAGGGAUAGUAAAUCCCCACUGAGAAAUUAUCUGGCAGUUUCUGAGUCAUGGGAAGAUAUCAACAAAGUGAAAUUUAUUUAAUAUUGAUGAAUGGGACAGUAAUGCACCUAGGGAGAAAUAACAGCAAUCAACACAGAUAUUUAGGAGACAUUAAUAUAGAAAAAGACCUUGGGGUUGAAGCGGAUAAUUAAGUGCAUAAGAGCUCACAUUGCAAAACAAGCAAUCGGUGUUCCAGAGCGUGCAGCGUCAAAAGAGAUGUGCCGUGCAGCAAAGUGAGGGAUAAGUGCGGCACAACUUAGCCUGAGUAAGACUGGAGCUGGGGUGGGGUAUGAAUUUUUCAGCCUCCUCUUUUUAAGAAGACACGGGAAAGUGGCAGAGAAGUAAAAGACGGGUAGUAGAAAUGACAAAGAGAGCUGCGGGCAUUGCGUGUGAAGGCGCGGCGGAAAGUAAUUCAUUCAGCAGGAGGGAGCAGCGCCAGCCCUCCUGUCUGUGUGCCGCACGAAUGGACUUUCCCUGCAGCAGCAAUGGUAAAAGGGUCUCAAAUUAAAAAUGGAACAACUCCAUUUAGAUACAAGAGAAAUGACUUAAUACUAAGGGCUGUUACAUGGGCAAUGGAGUAAGCUGUCUGGUGAGCAGCUGAACACAAGGCACCGUCAAUAGAAGGUUUCUGGGGUGAGACUGGAAAAAGUGCCGGUGGGAUUACUGCAGAAGAGGCUUCUCAGCAUGAGCAUGGCUAACACAAAGGUCCUUUGCUGUCAUUUUCAUCGACACUUCUGGGAUCUCAAAGGCUGUGCACAAUAAAAGAGACAAUAUGUCCAGAUUUUAAUGAAAUCCAUCUGCCACGCUCGGUGAGACUACAUGGUGACUGGGACGAGAGGUGCAGCCCUGCAAGCCUCACCUCUGUAUCCCAUCUGCUCUACAGGCUUUCACAGGAGUGGGCCCGGGAGCUGAAGAUGCUGCAGAGGUGGGUUAUAGCCAUGUGCAUUUUCAGAGAAGCUGGCACAGCUCCUGCCUAUUUUGAAACGUUUGCUUCUGGAAUUUGUGAUGCUUGAACCAGUUAAAUACUAGAUUAUCGUAAGUGUAAUUUACAUGUUUCCCAAGUAAGGGAAUGCGAGUGGAGAAGAGAAUUUCUGAAUGUUCGUAUUUCCAAAUUAAACCAGUGUAAAUGAGCCUUCUGUUCGAUUCAGUGUGUAACGCAUUAUUUCAUGGCUGUCUCCUCAAUAUUACAGGCCCCUUUUACAUCAAGCAGUGUCAUACCCCAUCCAAAUCACUGUGAGAUAAAGAUGUUCCCCUUUAAUGUAAUAAAGGACUACAACAAUACUCCAAC
ensembl:lncRNA